GAUGAACGCUGACAGAAUGCUUAACACAUGCAAGUCUUUGGCGAAGCUGUGCUUGCACAGCCUAGCCAAGGCGGACGGGUGAGUAACGCGUAAGGGACUUGCCCUGCAGUCAGGGAUAACAGACGGAAACGACUGAUAAAACCUGAUAAAGUCAGGCGGACUCAUGUCCAGCCUGAUGAAAAGAGAUGCUGCAGGAGAGCCUUGCGUCCUAUUAGCUUGUUGGUGGGGUAACGGCCCACCAAGGCGAUGAUAGGUAGCCGGCCUGAGAGGGUGGACGGCCACAAGGGGACUGAGAUACGGCCCUUACUCCUACGGGAGGCAGCAGUGGGGAAUAUUGGACAAUGGGGGCAACCCUGAUCCAGCAAUUCUGUGUGCACGAUGAAGGUCUUCGGAUUGUAAAGUGCUUUCAGCAGGGAAGAAAA
rnacentral:rRNA from 1 species